rnacentral:lncRNA from 1 species
CCGAGCCCUGCGGCAGCCAGGAGCCCAGGGGCAGUGCUGGGAGCUCACUGCUGAACCAGGAAGUUUACAACUCCUUGGUGCUCUUUGGUGUGGAAACAACCACCUGCAUGAACAACAAAGGUGACUCCAAAGCUGAUUUAAUCCCGGUGCUUCACCUCCCCAGCUCCUCAGGCGAACCACGGCUGCUCCCAGUGGUGUUACCAGUUCUGCUUCUGCUGAUCUGCAUCACCAUCGCCCUCCUCACCUUGGCCAAAAUCAAGCUUCAAGAGCAGACAGGAGAAGAAAGAAGGAGCACAGGGAGCCCGGAGCCAGCUUUGGACCGUGCUGGGCCGAGCCCUGGAGGGGAGGAAAGGAUGGAGGAGAGCCCGAGGGCAGGAGAGGAGCAGGAAUUCAGGACGGGCUCUGGC